GGACUCAUGGCCCAGUGGUAAGGCGCUCGCCUUCGAUAUAGGAUGAUGUGCCCUUCGCCGUAAGCGAGAGAUCGGCGGUUCGACCCCGUCUGAGUUCA